rnacentral:rRNA from 2 species
UCCGAGUUGUAAUUUGUAGAGGAUGUUUCGGGUACCGCCUCGGUUUAAAUUUCUUGGAACAGAAUGUCAAAGAGGGUGAGAAUCCCGUCUUGGACCGGCGGUAGGGCCCAUGUGAAACUCCUUCGACGAGUCGAGUUGUUUGGGAAUGCAGCUCAAAAUGGGUGGUAAAUUUCAUCUAAAGCUAAAUAUUGGCCAGAGACCGAUAGCGCACAAGUAGAGUGAUCGAAAGAUGAAAAGCACUUUGAAAAGAGAGUUAAACAGUAUGUGAAAUUGUUGAAAGGGAAGCGCUUACAACCAGACUUGCGCGCGGCGGUUCCCCCUUCCUUUUGGUUGGGCUACUCCGUCGUGUCCAGGCCAACAUCGGUUCUGGGGGUCGGUUAAAGACCCUGGGAAUGUAUCUACCCUUCGGGCGUAGACUUAUAGCUCAGGGUGUCAUGCGACCUCCCGGGACCGAGGAACGCGCUUCGGCUCGGAUGUUGGCGUAAUGGUUGUCAGCGACCCGUCUUGAAACACGGACCA